UACGUAGGUGGCAAGCGUUGUCCGGAUUUACUGGGCGUAAAGAGCGCGCAGGCGGUCGGAUAAGUCGAAUGUGAAAGCCCCCGGCUCAACUGGGGAGGGUCACUCGAUACUGUUCGACUCGAAGGCAGGAGAGGGAAGUGGAAUUCCCGGUGUAGUGGUGAAAUGCGUAGAUAUCGGGAGGAACACCAGUGGCGAAGGCGACUUCCUGGCCUGUUCUUGACGCUGAGGCGCGAAAGCUAGGGGAGCAAACGGG
rnacentral:rRNA from 1 species